rnacentral:rRNA from 1 species
AGAGUUUGAUCCUGGCUCAGGACGAACGCUGGCGGCGUGCUUAACACAUGCAAGUCGAACGGGAUCCUUUCUAGCUUGCUAGGGGGGUGAGAGUGGCGAACGGGUGAGUAACGCGUGAUUAACCUGCCGUGUAGUUUGGAAUAGCUCCUGGAAACGGGUGGUAAUGCCGAAUGUUCCACAUGCUCGCAUGGGUGUGUGGGAAAACGUUUUAGUGCUAUGCGAUGGGAUCGCGUCCUAUCAGCUUGUUGGUGGGGUAGUGGCCUACCAAGGCUUCGACGGGUAGCCGGCCUGAGAGGGCGACCGGCCACAUUGGGACUGAGAUACGGCCCAGACUCCUACGGGAGGCAGCAGUGGGGAAUAUUGCACAAUGGGGGGAACCCUGAUGCAGCGACGCCGCGUGCGGGAUGACGGCCUUCGGGUUGUAAACCGCUUUUAUUGGGGAGCAAGCGUGAGUGAGUGUACCUUUUGAAUAAGCACCGGCUAACUACGUGCCAGCAGCCGCGGUAA